rnacentral:tRNA from 1 species
GGUUAUGGCUCAGCGGUAGAGCGCUCACCUAGCAUGUACAAGGCACUGGGUUCGAUCCUCAGCACCA